rnacentral:rRNA from 1 species
CCCACUGAUAAUUCUUAAAGGGCCGCGGUAAUUUGACCGUGCAAAGGUAGCAUAAUCGUUAGUUUUUUAAUUGGAAUCUUGUAUGAAUGGUUGAACAAAAGAAUAACUGUCUCUAUUUUUUAUUUGAAUUUAACUUUUAAGUGAAAAGGCUUAAAUGAUUUAAAAAGACGAUAAGACCCUAUAAAGCUUGAUAAAUUUUACUAUUGAAUUGAAUGUAUUAUAUAGUAUAAUAGUUCAGUAUAAAAAGUUUAUUUUGUUGGGGCGACAAUGAUAAAAUGUUUGUUAACUGUUUAUGAUGAGGACAAAAAUUAUUGGUUACAAGUGUAAAUGAUCCUUUUUAGAGAUUAAAAGUUUAAGUUACUUUAGGGAUAACAGCGUUAUUUUUCUUGAGAGUCCAUAUCGAAAGAAAAGUUUGCGACCUCGAUGUUGAAUUAAAAUUUCUAUAUAAUUGCAGAAGU